rnacentral:rRNA from 1 species
CGCGGCCUAUCAGCUUGUUGGUGGGGUGAUGGCCUACCAAGGCGACGACGGGUAGCCGGCCUGAGAGGGCGACCGGCCACACUGGGACUGAGACACGGCCCAGACUCCUACGGGAGGCAGCAGUGGGGAAUAUUGCACAAUGGGCGGAAGCCUGAUGCAGCGACGCCGCGUGAGGGAUGACGGCCUUCGGGUUGUAAACCUCUUUCAGCAGGGAAGAAGCCUUUUCGGUGACGGUACCUGCAGAAGAAGCACCGGCUAACUACGUGCCAGCAGCCGCGGUAAUACGUAGGGUGCGAGCGUUGUCCGGAAUUAUUGGGCGUAAAGAACUCGUAGGCGGCUUGUCGCGUCGGAUGUGAAAGCCCGGGGCUUAACUCCGGGUCUGCAUUCGAUACGGGCAGGCUAGAGUUCGGUAGGGGAGAUCGGAAUUCCUGGUGUAGCGGUGAAAUGCGCAGAUAUCAGGAGGAACACCGGUGGCGAAGGCGGAUCUCUGGGCCGAUACUGACGCUGAGGAGCGAAAGCGUGGGGAGCGAACAGGAUUAGAUACCCUGGUAGUCCACGCCGUAAACGUUGGGAACUAGGUGUGGGUCACAUUCCACGUGGUCCGUGCCGCAGCUAACGCAUUAAGUUCCCCGCCUGGGGAGUACGG